rnacentral:rRNA from 1 species
CGAACGAGACUCAAACUUUUUUAAAUAGAUGCUUGCAGGUUUAUGACGCUGAAACUAUGUGCGUGGGUGCUGUGGUUGUGCAAGCAAUCAUUGUGCCAAUGUGUAUGGUGGAGUUAUACCUGUUUGGUUUGUCUUAAGAGGACACCUCGCUUCUUAAAUGGACAAAAUGCGUCUAGCAUUAAUGAGAUUGAGCAAUAACAGGUCUGUGAUGCCCUUAGAUGUCCUGGGCUGCACGCGCGCUACAAUGAAGGUAUCAAUGUGUUUUAUCCUUGACCGAGAGGUAUGGGUAAACAUUGAACCACCUUCUUGGUUGGGAUUGUGGACUGUAACUGUUCACAUGAACCCGGAAUUCCCAGUAAGUGUGAGUCAUAAGCUUGCAUUGAUUACGUCCCUGCCCUUUGUACACACCGCCCGUCGCUACUACUGAUGAAUUGUUUAGUGAGGUCUCUGGACGUGUGCGCCGAAAUACUCUUGUAGUAAUUUGGUAUGUUACACAGAAGUUGACCGAACUUGAUUAUU